AUACCUUUCUCGGCCUUUUGGCUAAGAUCAAGUGUAGUAUCUGUUCUUAUCAGUUUAAUAUCUGAUACGUAGGCCAUUGGCCUACAUGAUAUUAAAUUAAUUUUUCCAUUGGGGAGGGCCCGUCACAGUAGCUUGCUACUGGGGUCCUUACGCGUCGCCCAUGCCUUGCACUAAAGCAAGGGCCUGGCGCUCCCGCU
rnacentral:snRNA from 1 species